rnacentral:rRNA from 1 species
CCUACGGGGGGCAGCAGUCGAGAAUCAUUCACAAUGGGGGAAACCCUGAUGGUGCGACGCCGCGUGGGGGAAUGAAGGUCUUCGGAUUGUAAACCCCUGUCAUGUGGGAGCAAAUUAAAAAGAUAGUACCACAAGAGGAAGAGACGGCUAACUCUGUGCCAGCAGCCGCGGUAAUACAGAGGUCUCAAGCGUUGUUCGGAAUCACUGGGCGUAAAGCGUGCGUAGGCUGUUUCGUAAGUCGUGUGUGAAAGGCGGGGGCUCAACCCGCGGACGGCACAUGAUACUGCGAGACUAGAGUAAUGGAGGGGGAAGCGGAAUGCGCGGUGUAGCAGUGAAAUGCGUAGAUAUCGAGAGGAACACUCGUGGCGAAGGCGGGUUCCUGGACAUUAACUGACGCUGAGGCACGAAGGCCAGGGGAGCGAAAGGGAUUAGAUACCCUAGUAGUC